rnacentral:rRNA from 1 species
UACGUAGGGGGCAAGCGUUGUCCGGAUUUAUUGGGCGUAAAGAGCGUGUAGGCGGGCGGGCAAGUACCUUGUGAAAUCCCACGGCUCAACCGUGGAACGGCUGGGUAUACUGCCUGUCUUGAGCCAGCUAGGGGCGACCGGAACAGACGGUGGAGCGGUGAAAUGCGUAGAUAUCGUCUGGAACGCCAAAGGUGAAAACAGGUCGCUGGGGCUGAGCUGACGCUGAGACACGAAAGCCAGGGGAGCGAACGGG